rnacentral:rRNA from 1 species
CUCCAAACUAUGUGACCGGCCGCGGGGAUUUCGAUUAGAGUUUGAUCCCUGGACUAAGAGAGGAGUGAGACGCGUGGGGCGGCAUGCCUUACACAUGCAAGUCGAACGGCAGCACGGAGCUUGCUCUGGUGGCGAGUGGCGAACGGGUGAGUAAUAUAUCGGAACGUACCCUAGAGUGGGGGAUAACGUAGCGAAAGUUACGCUAAUACCGCAUACGAUCUAAGGAUGAAAGUGGGGGAUCGCAAGACCUCAUGCUCGUGGAGCGGCCGAUAUCUGAUUAGCUAGUUGGUAGGGUAAAAGCCUACCAAGGCAUCGAUCAGUAGCUGGUCUGAGAGGACGACCAGCCACACUGGAACUGAGACACGGUCCAGACUCCUACGGGAGGCAGCAGUGGGGAAUUUUGGACAAUGGGCGAAAGCCUGGUCCAGCAAUGCCGCGUGAGUGAAGAAGGCCUUCGGGUUGUAAAGCUCUUUUGUCAGGGAAGAAACGGUGAGAGCUAAUAUCUCUUGCUAAUGACGGUACCUGAAGAAUAAGCACCGGCUAACUACGUGCCAGCAGCCGCGGUAAUACGUAGGGUGCAAGCGUUAAUCGGAAUUACUGGGCGUAAAGCGUGCGCAGGCGGUUUUGUAAGUCUGAUGUGAAAUCCCCGGGCUCAACCUGGGAAUUGCAUUGGAGACUGCAAGGCUAGAAUCUGGCAGAGGGGGGUAGAAUUCCAC